GCCAGUGACAUCCAUUCUGCAUGGCCAUGAAUAUUUAUUGUCAUAUCCCUGCACCAGACAGAGUUGGGAAAGAGGGGUUAUGAGGAGGCUUUUCUUCCACACCAGAUGACUGUUGUCCCUCCUCAGCCCAACUGAAGAAAUGAAGUGGAUUGGUCUUUAGUGUGUCCUGGAGAAUGGAGUACUGGGAUUGACCAUUACUAAAGCGUAACUGAUAGCCCAUUGGAAACAAAGAACAGAGGGAGUACUUUCCAAGGAAUCAGGCGACGGGAGAACGAGUAUGAUGAAGAAAGAAUUAAAAUCCAAGGAGGAACAGAAGAAAAGUAUGUAGAAAAUGUGAUUUCCCCAAGGCUCGUGACAUUGUCUUGUAAGGGAAGAUGGGUCUGACUGCCAGUAGCAGCCUUAAACAAAAUAAUCAAAAAAGUGAGCCCCCGCACAUAAGCUCGAGACUAUCAGAUACCUGUCACGAUAAAUACAUUACCUUCAAUUCUUACAACAGUAUGGCAA
rnacentral:lncRNA from 1 species